rnacentral:rRNA from 1 species
GAGGGUAAUAAUAAGAGCGUAUGGUGGAUGCCUUGACUUGAAGAGGCGAUGAAAGACGUGGCGUGGCUGCGAUAAGCUUCGGUUAGGUGCCUAGCAACCUUUGAUCCGGAGAUUUCUGAAUGGGGAAACCCAAUUCGGUAAAGCCGAAUUAGCCCUGUCGAAUGAUGGGGCGGCACACCUGGGGAAGUGAAACAUCUCAGUAC